ACCUGGUUGAUCCUGCCAGUAGUCAUAUGCUUGUCUCAAAGCUUAAGCCAUGCAAGUGUAAGUUCACGCCACGCAUUAGAACGGGCGAAACCGCGAAUGGCUCAGGAACCGGACCUAAUCCUCGGGACCGUAAUCCUCCUCGGAGGCGAUGGAUAACUGUGGCAAUUCUAGAGCUAAUACAUGUGACACAGGCCGCGAUCGGUCGUCGCGCCGUGGUCGCCUCGCCUUCUUGCGCGCUGGCACCCGCGACGGCCGUCUUGGGUCGCGGCGCUACAUAUUAGACUGAGACCGAUGCGCGAUUUCCGUCCUCCCGUCUCGGGUCUCGGCUCGUUUCGGGACCAAAGGUCGGCGCGCUCCGCUUUGGUGACUCUGGAUAACUCACUGGUCGAUCGCACGGGCUUCCACGCCCGGCGACGGGUCCCUCGAGGGUCCGCCCUAUCAACUGUCGACGGUCGGUUAAGUGCCUACCGUGGUUACUACGGGUAACGGGGAAUCGGGGUUCGAUUCCGGAGAGGGAGCAKGCRAAMCGSCUACCACAUCCAAGGAAGGCAGCAGGCGCGCAAAUUACCCACUCCCGGCACGGGGAGGUAGUGACGAAAAAUAACGACGCGGGACUCUGUCGAGGCCCCGCGAUCGGAAUGAGUACACUUCAAAUCCGUUAACGAGGACCAACCGGAGGGCAAGUCUGGUGCCAGCAGCCGCGGUAAUUCCAGCUCCGGUAGCGUAUAUUAAAGUUGUUGCGGUUAAAAAGCUCGUAGUCCGAACUCGGGUUCGUGGUCGCUCACGCGGCCCCGGGGCGGCGGCGCCAUCGUCCAUCGUUGACUUUGGUCGUCCGUUCGCAUUCCCGGCCCUUUCCGCCGGUGUCAAUCGCUACAUAGACGGCCGCGGGUCAGCUGGCGUNAGGCGUGGCGCUUCGCGCGUUCGUCGUCGUGGGGACCGGGCCAGGGUUCGCCCCGAACCCACCUCGCGGCUGGCGGCGUGCGUCGYGUCCGGGCCUCUCGCGGGCUCCCUUUCGCCACGCCCUCGCGUCGCCGUCGGCGAUUUCUCCUCCAAGGGUGCUCUUGAUCGAGUGUCCGCGGCGGCCGGUACGUUCACUUUGAAAAAAUUAGAGUGCUCAGAGCGGGCUGUUCAAGCUUGCAUACGAUAAGCAUGGAAUGAUGGAAGAGGGCCUCGUCUACGUCUGUCGGUCUCCGUCUACGGCGAGGCAAUGAUCGAAGGGAGCGGUCGGGGCCACUCGUAUUGCGACGUUAGAGGUGAAAUUCUUGGAUCGUCGCAAGACGAACUGCAGCGAUGGCGUGUGGCAAGCACGUUUUCCUCGAUCAAGAGCGAAAGUCGGAGGUUCGAAGACGAUCAGAUACCGUCGUAGUUCCGACCGUAAACGAUGCCGACCGGCGAUCCGCCGGCGUUCGCUUCCAUGACCCGGCGGGUAGCCUGCGGGAAACCAGAGUUCGGUUCCGGGGGGAGKAUGGUUGCAAAGCUGAAACUUAAAGGAAUUGACGGAAGGGCACCACCAGGAGUGGAGCCUGCGGCUUAAUUUGACUCAACACGGGAAAACUCACCCGGUCCGGACACCGGUAGGAUUGACAGAUCGAUAGCUCUUUCUCGAUUCGGUGGGUGGUGGUGCAUGGCCGUUCUUAGUUGGUGGAGCGAUCCGUCUGGUUGAUUCCGAUAACGAACGAGACUCCGGCCUGCUAACUAGUGCGCCGAUGUGAGUGCGGCCCUCCGAGGUCGUGUGCGGGCUCGGGGGCGAUUUUUGAUCGUCUCUCGUGUCCGGGUCGGUUUCUCACGCACUUCUUAGAGGGACGGGUGGCAGAAAGCCACACGAGGCGGAGCGAUAACAGGUCUGUGAUGCCCUUAGAUGUCCGGGGCCGCACGCGCGCUACACUGGAGGUAUCAGCGGGGACUUCGCCCCGGCCCGAGAGGGUCGGGAAACCUCUCAACCACCUCCCGUGAUAGGGAUCGGGGCCUGUAACCAACCCCGUGAACGAGGAAUUCCCGGUAGGCGCGGGUCAACAGCCCGCGUCGAUCACGUCCCUGCCCUUUGUACACACCGCCCGUCGCUACUACCGAUCGAACGGUCCGGUGAGGUCCUCGGAUCUGGCCGACGACGCCGCCGGGBMAGGSCUUCGGGKCCCGCCUCGGCGUUCGAUGCCUGGAGAAGACGACCGAACCCGAUCGUUUAGAGGAAGUAAAAGUCGUAACAAGGUUUCCGUAGGUGAACCUGCGGAAGGAUCAUUA
rnacentral:rRNA from 1 species